rnacentral:snRNA from 1 species
AUCGCUUUUCGGCCUUUUGGCUAAGAUCAAGUGUAGUAUCUGUUCUUAUCAGUUUAAUAUCUGAUACGUCCUCCAUCCGAGGACAAUAUAUUAAAUGGAUUUUUGGAGCAGGGAGAUGGAAUAGGAGCUUGCUCCAUCCACUCCACGCAUCGACCUGGUAUUGCACUACUCUUAUUAUCUCAUUAAGAAAAAAAAUGCUGGUGUAUACCUA